CAUAAACACGCGUUCUCCGUUCUCCGUUCUCCUUUCUCCCCUCUUUCUCAAACGCUCGAGCCCUAGUUCCUCGAUCUCUCUCCUCGCAAGCGAUCGAUUACCUUCAGCGGAGAGUAUCGAGCUUCCUCAUCUCUCUCCGAUCGAGUCAUAGUUCCUCUCGAUCAACAGGAGAAUCGAAUCUUCAACUUGUGGAGGCAAUGAUUAGGGUUCGAGCGUCUUUCCUGUUCAAAUUCAGGCCUUUGAUCGAGCUAAUCACUGGAUUUUGAGGGUUUCUUGAUCAGGCCUUUGAUCGAGCUCUGAAGUUUUAAUCCGCUGAGCUCGCUGAAGAGACGUCCUCAGUUACUAUGUCUUUGAAUGAAUUUACUGCAUGCGAUGAUGGUAGUGAAUCUGGUAAUGAAACUAUAUCUAUACGUAAAAGAAGAGCAAAAUCAAAAGUUUGGGAGUAUUUUACUGAGUUGCCUGUUGAUAGUGAUGGGAAAGCUAAAGUUCAGUGCAAGAAAUGUGACCAAGUUUAUGUUAGUGGUUAUGGUACCACAAAUAUGUUGAGGCAUAUUCAUUCUUGCCCAAAACGAGAUAUAGAUGAGGCUGAUUCAUCAUGGAAAACCAUGCCAUUAGAUCAAGAUAAUUACAGAGAAAUGUUGGCUAGGGUCAUUGCAUUGCAUGGUUAUUCAUUCUGUUUUGUGGAACAUCGAGGGAUACACAAAUUACAUACAUUUUUAAAUCCUGAAGUCAAGCAUAUCUCGAGGAACACCACUAAAGCUGAUUUGCUUAAGUUGUACCAGAAAGAAAAAAGAAUUCUUAAACAAACUUUGAAGCUAGUUCCUAGCAGAAUCAGUCUAACUACAGACUUGUGGACCUCUUCAACAUCAGAUUACUACAUGUCUCUUACUGCACAUUACAUUGAUGAGCAAUGGAUCUUGCAAAACAAAAUAUUAGCUUUGUCUCAUGUUUCACCCCCAUAUAGUGGGGCAAUUUUAGUAGAGAAGCUAUUUCAUUUACUGAAGGAGUGGGGCAUAGAAAAAAGAAUUUUCACUGUUACAUUGGAUAAUGCAUCAUAUAAUGAUGCUUUUAUGAAGAUUUUGAAAGACCAUCCUGCUUUAAAGGAGCAUUUUGUCUCCAAUGGUGAAUUUUUGCAUGUACGAUGUUGUGCUCACAUUUUAAAUCUUGUUGUACAAGAUGGUUUAAAAAUAAUUGAUAAAUCUUUAUCCAAGUUUAGAGAAUGCAUUAAAUAUGUAAAGAGUCCUCCUGGAAGGAAGAAAAAAUUUGCAGAGUGUAUCGAACAAACUUGUUCAGUUAGUGCAAAGAAAAUUCAACAAGAUGUGUCCAAUAGGUGGAAUUCCACCUUUUUAAUGUUGGAGAGUGUUUUACCUUUUCGUCGGGCAUUUGAGCAAUUGAAGGUAAUCGAUUCAAAUUUUACAUUUUGUCCAUCAACUGAAGAAUGGGUAAAGGCUGAAAAAAUAGCAAAGUUCUUGAAACCUUUUUAUGAAGUGUGCACUCUUUUUUCUGGAAGUAAAUACCCAACUUCUAACUUGUAUUUUGGUGGAGUUUGGAAGAUACAAAAAUGCAUAAAGGAAGAGAUGACAAGUGAAGAUGAAGACAUAAAAUCUAUGGCAAGUGAUAUGGAGAAAAAGUUUAAUAAAUAUUGGAAGUGUUAUAGCAAGAUUUUGUCCUUUGCAUGCAUCUUAGACCCCCGUUAUAAGGUGAAAUAUGUGGAGUUUUGUUUUCAAAAAGUGGGUCUUGGUUCUACUCAUGUGGUGACUCUCUUGGAUAAGUUAAAGCUUCUUUACAAAGAAUAUGAGAGAGCAUCAAAUGAUAUAUGCAUGGCCGGUAGUAGUUCGGAAGAGGCCUUUGGAGAUGUUCGUGAUGAUGAGAUGCUUGAGUUUGAACAGUUUGAGAGCCAAGUAGUUUCAGUCAGUAGGACCAAGUCUGAAUUAGAAGAGUAUUUAGAUGAAAAGAUACUUUCUUGGAAGAAAAAUGAGAAACUGAAUGUUCUUGAAUAUUGGAAAGUAGAAUCUGAGAAGCGUCCUCAAUUAUCCAUGAUGGCUCGUGAUAUACUCAGUAUCCCUAUUACUUCAGUGGCCUCUGAAUCUGCUUUCAGCAUAGCUGGUCGUGUGCUUGAUAAGUACCGUAAUCGUCUUCUUCCGGAAAAUGCCGAAGCUCAAAUAUGCCUUGGUUCUUGGUUAGAGGAGGUUCCUUCUUUGGAAGAUAUUGAAGAAGGACAUCUGUUGGUGCAUGAUUUUAGUGAUAUUCAAAAUUUUGAAUCUGAAGGAGGGUGGUGAAGUGCUUGUUAGAAGAUUUGUCAUCUAUUAAGAACAUGUACUCGUCAUUUCAGUCUAAAUAAACCACCAUUAAUCUCCCAGUUUGAGAUGCUUGAGUUAUACUGCACAAACCUGCAAUUAAGAGCUUAAUUAAUUUGGACUAUACAAGGUCUCUGCUUGUAGAAGACUCUCAGGGGUGUUUAGAUCAAACAGGUCUAUGUCAUGUUUUGUGAGUUUUUGAUGCCACUUUCGUCCACCGACCUCCUGAACGCUGCAAUUUGUGGAAACCUUGUGUUUAGAAGUGUCCGAAAGAUCUCACUGAUAACGCGGCAAAAGCCGAUAGCAUAUGCAUGCUUAUGUGGCAAUUGCAAAGUCUGAUCACUUUGUAGUAGUGUGCUGUUUGUUUGCUGCUUGUUUCUUUUGGUAUUAGUGAGGGUUUCACUUGACUGGUGUAUGAUGAUUGUAGAGUGUAGGCACCAAUCUCUUUCAGCAUAUGUUGAUCUAUAUAAUGUUUACUAGUCGUAAUGCUGUGUAUAAAACUUGGGAUCUUAGCGCUUCACAUUUUGAUUUUCGUUAUA